rnacentral:rRNA from 2 species
UGAACGCUGGCGGCAGGCCUAACACAUGCAAGUCGAGCGGUAGCACAGAGAGCUUGCUCUCGGGUGACGAGCGGCGGACGGGUGAGUAAUGUCUGGGAAACUGCCUGAUGGAGGGGGAUAACUACUGGAAACGGUAGCUAAUACCGCAUAACGUCGCAAGACCAAAGUGGGGGACCUUCGGGCCUCAUGCCAUCAGAUGUGCCCAGAUGGGAUUAGCUAGUAGGUGGGGUAACGGCUCACCUAGGCGACGAUCCCUAGCUGGUCUGAGAGGAUGACCAGCCACACUGGAACUGAGACACGGUCCAGACUCCUACGGGAGGCAGCAGUGGGGAAUAUUGCACAAUGGGCGCAAGCCUGAUGCAGCCAUGCCGCGUGUGUGAAGAAGGCCUUCGGGUUGUAAAGCACUUUCAGYGGGGAGGAAGGCGWUAAGGUUAAUAACCUUGKCGAUUGACGUUACCCGCAGAAGAAGCACCGGCUAACUCCGUGCCAGCAGCCGCGGUAAUACGGAGGGUGCAAGCGUUAAUCGGAAUUACUGGGCGUAAAGCGCACGCAGGCGGUCUGUCAAGUCGGAUGUGAAAUCCCCGGGCUUAACCUGGGAACUGCAUUCGAAACUGGCAGGCUAGAGUCUUGUAGAGGGGGGUAGAAUUCCAGGUGUAGCGGUGAAAUGCGUAGAGAUCUGGAGGAAUACCGGUGGCGAAGGCGGCCCCCUGGACAAAGACUGACGCUCAGGUGCGAAAGCGUGGGGAGCAAACAGGAUUAGAUACCCUGGUAGUCCACGCCGUAAACGAUGUCGAUUUGGAGGUUGUGCCCUUGAGGCGUGGCUUCCGGAGCUAACGCGUUAAAUCGACCGCCUGGGGAGUACGGCCGCAAGGUUAAAACUCAAAUGAAUUGACGGGGGCCCGCACAAGCGGUGGAGCAUGUGGUUUAAUUCGAUGCAACGCGAAGAACCUUACCUGGUCUUGACAUCCACAGAACUUUCCAGAGAUGGAUUGGUGCCUUCGGGAACUGUGAGACAGGUGCUGCAUGGCUGUCGUCAGCUCGUGUUGUGAAAUGUUGGGUUAAGUCCCGCAACGAGCGCAACCCUUAUCCUUUGUUGCCAGCGGUCCGGCCGGGAACUCAAAGGAGACUGCCAGUGAUAAACUGGAGGAAGGUGGGGAUGACGUCAAGUCAUCAUGGCCCUUACGACCAGGGCUACACACGUGCUACAAUGGCAUAUACAAAGAGAAGCGACCUCGCGAGAGCAAGCGGACCUCAUAAAGUAUGUCGUAGUCCGGAUUGGAGUCUGCAACUYGACUCCAUGAAGUCGGAAUCGCUAGUAAUCGUAGAUCAGAAUGCUACGGUGAAUACGUUCCCGGGCCUUGUACACACCGCCCGUCACACCAUGGGAGUGGGUUGCAAAAGAAGUAGGUAGCUUAACCUUCGGGAGGGCGCUUACCACUUUGUGAUUCAUGA